GACGAACGCUGGCGGCGGGCUUAACACAUGCAAGUCGAACGGAAAGGCCCUGCUUUUGUGUGGUGCUCGAGUGGCGAACGGGUGAGUAACACGUGAGUAACCUGCCCUUGACUUUGGGAUAACUUCAGGAAACUGGGGCUAAUACCGGAUAGGAGCUCCUGCUGCAUGGUGGGGGUUGGAAAGUUUCGGCGGUUGGGGAUGGACUCGCGGCUUAUCAGCUUGUUGGUGGGGUAGUGGCUUACCAAGGCUUUGACGGGUAGCCGGCCUGAGAGGGUGACCGGGCACAUUGGGACUGAGAUACGGACCAGACUCCUACGGGAGGCAGCAGUGGGGAAUAUUGCACAAUGGGGCGAAGCCUGAUGCAGCAACGCCGCGUGCGGGAUGACGGCCUUCGGGUUGUAAACCGCUUUCGCCUGUGACGAAGCGUGAGUGACGGUAAUGGGUAAAGAAGCACCGGCUAACUACGUG
rnacentral:rRNA from 1 species